rnacentral:ncRNA from 1 species
CUAAAAGCUUCGACGAGGAAGAGUAGUCGAUUGCAGUACCUGAACAGAGAGCCUUGUGAGCUGAGAGAGGCAGUACUGUUAUUGAUGAAAGUAACCUUUGAGCUAUCUGCUGAACAAAGUAGGCGGGAUUGGGAGUGCCCAUUAUCGCACCAACGCAUCAACUCUAGAAGGGAUGAGCUAGCUCGUUUCUACGUUUGUGAUCUAUCUGAAGGCUCCAAGCAGACGUAGUAUUCUGAUUUCUAGAAGUUUGUGCGCGGCAGAGGCAUUUGCGGUGACGUAGAUGUAAAUUAAAGGUGGUAACGCGCGAUAAGCGUCCUUAGU